rnacentral:rRNA from 1 species
CUACGGGUUGCUCCAGUCGAGAAUCAUUCGCAAUGGGCGAAAGCCUGACGAUGCGACGCCGUGUGAACGAAGAAGGCCCUCGGGUUGUAAAGUUCUUUCGCUAGGGAGCAAGAGAUGGUGGCUAAUAUCCAUCAAAUUUGAGAGUACCUGGUAAAGAAGCACCGGCUAACUCCGUGCCAGCAGCUGCGGUAAUACGGAGGGUGCAAGCAUUAAUCGGAUUUAUUGGGCGUAAAGGGCGUGUAGGCGGGAAUGUAAGUCAGGUGUGAAAUCCCGGGGCUCAACCCCGGAACUGCACUUGAAACUGCAUAUCGAGAGGGUAGGGGGAGAAAACGGAAUUCCACGUGUAGCGGUGAAAUGCGUAGAUAUGUGGAAGAACACCAGUGGCGAAGGCGGUUUUCUAGCUUAAUCCUGACGCUGAGGCGCGAAAGCAAGGGGAGCGAACAGGAUUAGAUACCCCGGUAGUC